UACGGGGGGGGCAAGCGUUGUUCGGAAUUACUGGGCGUAAAGGGCUCGUAGGCGGCCAACUAAGUCGGACGUGAAAUCCCCAGGCUCAACCUGGGAACUGCGUCCGAUACUGGAUGGCUUGAAUCCGGGAGAGGGAUGCAGAAUUCCAGGUGUAGCGGUGAAAUGCGUAGAUAUCUGGAGGAAUACCGGUGGCGAAGGCGGGUAGCUGGGCCGACACUGACGCUGAGGCGCGAAAGCCAGGGGAGCGAACGGG
rnacentral:rRNA from 1 species